GAUGAACGCUGGCGGCGUGCUUAACACAUGCAAGUCGAACGAUGAAGCCCAGCUUGCUGGGUGGAUUAGUGGCGAACGGGUGAGUAACACGUGAGUAACCUGCCCUUGACUCUGGGAUAAGCCUGGGAAACUGGGUCUAAUACUGGAUAUGACUUCUCGUCGCAUGGCGGGGGGUGGAAAGAUUUAUUGGUCUUGGAUGGACUCGCGGCCUAUCAGCUUGUUGGUGAGGUAAUGGCUCACCAAGGCGACGACGGGUAGCCGGCCUGAGAGGGUGACCGGCCACACUGGGACUGAGACACGGCCCAGACUCCUACGGGAGGCAGCAGUGGGGAAUAUUGCACAAUGGGCGCAAGCCUGAUGCAGCGACGCCGCGUGAGGGAUGACGGCCUUCGGGUUGUAAACCUCUUUCAGUAGGGAAGAAGCGAGAGUGACGGUACCUGCAGAAGAAGCGCCGGCUAACUACGUG
rnacentral:rRNA from 1 species